rnacentral:tRNA from 1 species
GGAAGGGCAAGCCAAUUGACGGUGGCCGCGGAUUUGAAAUCCGUUAGGAGCUAACGACUCGUGUGGGUUUGACUCCCACCCCUUCCA